rnacentral:lncRNA from 1 species
AUGGGAGGAACAAAAGAAAGAGGAUUCUCCGUUUUGGCAGAAACCUACAGUCACUUGAGCUGUAACUGGGAUAUCCCGGGGAAGAGGUCAGGUCCUGGCGGAUGUAUCAGCGCCCACGCAGGAAAACACCAAAAUGUGUUUGCUAAAUCAGGGGAGGAAGCCCCUCCCUCCGAGGACAGUUGGAGAUAUGAUAGAGCACUUGCCAGGCAUGCGCACCCUGCUUCAAAACCAGCAUGAGGGCGUUGGGGGCAGGGGUUGAAGAGGUUCAACUAUGAAGGUGUAAAGCCUUCGCCCACAAAACAGAGGUGCCAAAGGCAGUGCUAAAAGACAAGGAUGACUUCGCAUUUAGAGAUGGUGACACUCUUGGGACAUACAUAGACUAAAAUAAAUGACUGCUGAAGCUGCCA